CUCUCUCUUGUCUUCUACGAUUCUACGCGAAACGAAUCUGGAAGAAGAAACAAUUGAAGUCAGCAAAUAAACCUGAAACGUUUAAAAAACGUUAGAGAACAUAAAUUUAAAGCUGCGUAUGACCGCAACACAAGCCUUUAAAAUUUGUUGUUGAGAUUUUUUGAUAAAUUAAAUAAGAAGGAAACAAGACUUCAAAAAUAAAUGCAUUCAUAGUUUUUCCUUUUUUUUUUCAUUGAGUGGCUUAGUUAACAAUAUAAAAAACAGAACUAAGAACUAUAUCAAUUCGUGAUUUUUGCGUAGUCCUGUGGUCAGUAAAUUCAUAAUUAAGUAAUAUAACAAUAAUUGCUUUCUUAGCAGUCUAUUUCAUUACAUUGAGAAUCAAAAACAAUAAAAUGAUAAUAUAACAAUAAAUACUUUCUUUGAAGUCUUUUUGUUAUGCUUGUAAGGAAAUCUUAAUUAUUAAAAAUACUUUUCUCAAAACAAAAUCCGCGAGUUUGUCAGUGUGGCACUGAAACCAUAUGUUGUGCAAUGUUGUGAAUUUCGACGCCCGAUGUUUUGUCAAACAUCGAAGCAUCGUUAAGCAUCGGUAUGACACAAAUCAUCGGAAAACAUUAAAAAACAUCGCACAAAAAUGAUCGAUGCAUCGAUGUUUUUUUACAUCACUUUACUGUGGGCAAAAUGUGAUGUGAAUUUGGGGGUCAAGCAGUGGCGAUCCUUCCGUGUGGCAGCACUAUGAGUUGCUUCACUCGUUUUUAGGCGCAUACCACAUCCACAACUUGGAUCAGAAUACCUUGAAAACCGAGAAUACUAGGGAAUACUUUGUGGAGCUAUUGGAUGUAGACCCCGAUGACAGGGAAGCUUCUAUCUGCAGCGGCAGUCAACGCUCAGGUAGCAUUGUGCCCCCUGAUAAGCGCGCAAAUGUGGACCACAAGUCGAAGCUUGUGGAAACAGCUCGAGAAAGGCUGGAGGAGCAGCAAGCGCAGACAGAAAUAAUGUCGAGAAUGUCUAAAUGUUGCUGUUGAGAAAAUCAACGAAUUCCUUAAUUUUGCAAUAAAUAGGUAAAUUUAAAAAAUAAAAUGAGAUGUGAUGUUAUAAUUAAAUAUGAAACAAACAUA